rnacentral:rRNA from 1 species
UUAAGCGACUAAGCGUACACGGUGGAUGCCCUGGCAGUCAGAGGCGAUGAAGGACGUGCUAAUCUGCGAAAAGCGUCGGUAAGGUGAUAUGAACCGUUAUAACCGGCGAUGUCCGAAUGGGGAAACCCAGUGCAAUUCGUUGCACUAUCGUUAACUGAAUACAUAGGUUAACGAGGCGAACCGGGGGAACUGAAACAUCUAAGUACCCCGAGGAAAAGAAAUCAACCGAGAUUCCCCCAGUAGCGGCGAGCGAACGGGGAGCAGCCCAGAGUCUGAAUCAGCUUGUGUGUUAGUGGAACGGUCUGGAAAGUCCGACGGUACAGGGUGAUAGUCCCGUACACCAAAAUGCACAGGCUGUGAACUCGAAGAGUAGGGCGGGACACGUGGUAUCCUGUCUGAAUAUGGGGGGACCAUCCUCCAAGGCUAAAUACUCCUGACUGACCGAUAGUGAACCAGUACCGUGAGGGAAAGGCGAAAAGAACCCCGGCGAGGGGAGUGAAAAAGAACCUGAAACCGUGUACGUACAAGCAGUGGGAGCACCUUCGGGUGUGACUGCGUACCUUUUGUAUAAUGGGUCAGCGACUUAUAUUCUGUAGCAAGGUUAACCGUAUAGGGGAGCCGCAGGGAAACCGAGUCUUAACUGGGCGUUAAGUUGCAGGGUAUAGACCCGAAACCCGGUGAUCUAGCCAUGGGCAGGUUGAAGGUUGGGUAACACUAACUGGAGGACCGAACCGACUAAUGUUGAAAAAUUAGCGGAUGACUUGUGGCUGGGGGUGAAAGGCCAAUCAAACCGGGAGAUAGCUGGUUCUCCCCGAAAGCUAUUUAGGUAGCGCCUCGUGAACUCAUCUUCGGGGUAGAGCACUGUUUCGGCUAGGGGUCAUCCCGACUUACCAACCCGAUGCAAACUACGAAUACCGAAGAAUGUUAUCACGGGAGACACACGGCGGUGCUAACGUCCGUCGUGAAGAGGGAAACAACCCAGACCGCCAGCUAAGGUCCCAAAGUCAUGGUUAAGUGGGAAACGAUGUGGGAAGGCACAGACAGCCAGGAUGUUGGCUUAGAAGCAGCCAUCAUUUAAAGAAAGCGUAAUAGCUCACUGGUCGAGUCGGCCUGCGCGGAAGAUGUAACGGGCUAAACCAUGCACCGAAGCUGCGGCAGCGACACUAUGUGUUGUUGGGUAGGGAGCGUUCUGUAAGCCUGCGAAGGUGUGCUGUGAGGCAUGCUGGAGGUAUCAGAAGUGCGAAUGCUGACAUAAGUAACGAUAAAGCGGGUGAAAAGCCCGCUCGCCGGAAGACCAAGGGUUCCUGUCCAACGUUAAUCGGGCAGGGUGAGUCGACCCUAAGGCGAGGCCGAAAGGCGUAGUCGAUGGGAAACAGGUUAAUAUUCCUGUACUUGGUGUUACUGCGAAGGGGGGACGGAGAAGGCUAUGUUAGCCGGGCGACGGUUGUCCCGGUUUAAGCAUGUAGGCUGAUUGUCCAGGCAAAUCCGGAUAAUCAAGGCUGAGGUGUGAUGACGAGGCACUACGGUGCUGAAGUAACAAAUGCCCUGCUUCCAGGAAAAGCCUCUAAGCAUCAGGUAACAUUAAAUCGUACCCCAAACCGACACAGGUGGUCAGGUAGAGAAUACCAAGGCGCUUGAGAGAACUCGGGUGAAGGAACUAGGCAAAAUGGUGCCGUAACUUCGGGAGAAGGCACGCUGGUGUGUAGGUGAAGUCCCUGCGGAUGGAGCUGAGACCAGUCGAAGAUACCAGCUGGCUGCAACUGUUUAUUAAAAACACAGCACUGUGCAAACACGAAAGUGGACGUAUACGGUGUGACGCCUGCCCGGUGCCGGAAGGUUAAUUGAUGGGGUUAUCCGUAAGGAGAAGCUCUUGAUCGAAGCCCGGUAAACGGCGGCCGUAACUAUAACGGUCCUAAGGUAGCGAAAUUCCUUGUCGGGUAAGUUCCGACCUGCACGAAUGGCGUAAUGAUGGCGCUGUCUCCACCGAGACUCAGUGAAAUUGAACUCGCUGUGAAGAUGCAGUGUACCCGCGGCAAGACGGAAAGACCCCGUGAACCUUUACUAUAGCUUGACACUGAACAUUGAGCCUUGAUGUGUAGGAUAGGUGGGAGGCUUUGAAGCGUGGACGCCAGUCUGCGUGGAGCCAACCUUGAAAUACCACCCUUUAAUGUUUGAUGUUCUAACGUUGGCCCCUGACCGGGGUUGCGGACAGUGUCUGGUGGGUAGUUUGACUGGGGCGGUCUCCUCCCAAAGCGUAACGGAGGAGCACGAAGGUUAGCUAAUCCUGGUCGGACAUCAGGAGGUUAGUGCAAUGGCAUAAGCUAGCUUGACUGCGAGCGUGACGGCGCGAGCAGGUGCGAAAGCAGGUCAUAGUGAUCCGGUGGUUCUGAAUGGAAGGGCCAUCGCUCAACGGAUAAAAGGUACUCCGGGGAUAACAGGCUGAUACCGCCCAAGAGUUCAUAUCGACGGCGGUGUUUGGCACCUCGAUGUCGGCUCAUCACAUCCUGGGGCUGAAGUAGGUCCCAAGGGUAUGGCUGUUCGCCAUUUAAAGUGGUACGCGAGCUGGGUUUAGAACGUCGUGAGACAGUUCGGUCCCUAUCUGCCGUGGGCGCUGGAGAAUUGAGGGGGGCUGCUCCUAGUACGAGAGGACCGGAGUGGACGCAUCACUGGUGUUCGGGUUGUCAUGCCAAUGGCACUGCCCGGUAGCUAAAUGCGGAAGAGAUAAGUGCUGAAAGCAUCUAAGCACGAAACUUGCCCCGAGAUGAGUUCUCCCUGAGACUUUAAGUCUCCUGAAGGAACGUUAAAGACGAUGACGUUGAUAGGCCGGGUGUGUAAGCGCAGCGAUGCGUUGAGCUAACCGGUACUAAUGAACCGUGAGGCUUAACCU